rnacentral:misc_RNA from 1 species
CCAAUUCAAAACGAUGGCAGAAUCUCAGAAAAUGGUGGCAUUGAAGAAGGCGUACGCGGAAAUAAUACUGAACACGGCGAAGGAGGCAGCGAGUCGAGUGAUGGCGUCGGAGAAGAAAGCGAUUCGCUAUCAGCAGGAUCUUUUUACUGCAAAAGACGAGGCGAUUCGUUUGCUUGUCCGCUUGAAGCAAAUGAUCGACGCUAAGAUAAUUGAAGCAGAGAUAGCAUCCUCAAGCCAGCAAACUAAAAUUGAUGAGCUUGAAGCUCAGCUCCAGGAAGCAGAGGGUGUCAUAGUAGAUCUAAGAGCAGAGUUGAAAUGGGCACGUGAUAAGUUGGAGAAGAUAACUAACAACCAAUUCCAGUCUUUGGAUGGAAAUAUCACAAGUGACAAUGAACCCUCUGACCAAAACACAACACCUGAGCCCAAUAUACUCUCUCCUAAUGUGGGACUCCAACCUGUGACAUCUUGUGACAUGAAGAACUCAUUAUUUGAUCAGAGAAUUUUGGAUAACACGGGCUGCAAUAUAGAACAGACUGAGCAAUCGAGUGUUUCUCAAUUUGGAAGCCAUUCUUCUCAUAACACUGAA